GCUCAAAUAAAUUUGUUAGUCUCUAAGGUGACGCAAGUACUCCUGUUCUUUUUGCGGAUACAGACUAAUACAGCUGCGACUCUGAAACCUAUCAAUUUAAUUAUAUGCAGUAAGUGUCAUGAUA